UCCUCCAUAGAUCAGUGGUUAGAGCGUCCAACCGGCACCUGGAAGGUCAUGGAUUAGAUUCCCGUUGGGGAGCUCAGAA
rnacentral:tRNA from 1 species